rnacentral:rRNA from 1 species
UAGGGAAUAUUGGUCAAUGGAUGCAAGUCUGAACCAGCCAUGCCGCGUGCAGGAAGAAGGCCUUCUGGGUUGUAAACUGCUUUUGCCAGGGGAUAAAAUUUCCUUGCGAGGAAAAUUGAAGGUACCUGGUGAAUAAGCCACGGCUAACUACGUGCCAGCAGCCGCGGUAAUACGUAGGUGGCAAGCGUUGUCCGGAUUUAUUGGGUUUAAAGGGUGCGUAGGCGGCCUUGUAAGUCAGUGCUGAAAUAUCCCGGCUUAACCGGGAGGGUGGCAUUGAUACUGCAGGGCUUGAGUACAGAUGAGGUAGGCGGAAUUGACGGUGUAGCGGUGAAAUGCAUAGAUAUCGUCAAGAACACCUAUAGCGAAGGCAGCUUACUAAGCUGUAACUGACGCUGAGGCACGAAAGUGUGGGGAUCAAACA